GUUGCCUAGUGGUUAGAGCGCCCGCUUCAGAUGCGGGAGGUCAUGGGUUCGAUCCCUGGUCAAGUCA